CUCUGUUUUCUUUUUGUCUUUUGUCCCUUGCUGCAGACUUGAUCCAUAUUUUCUCCUCUGUUCCAAGGCACCUCAACUUUAUUGAUCACACCAGUGACAUUGGAUGGAAAGAGUCUCAGAGAGUGCAGCCGAUUAUAGUAGAUGCUGGAGUAUAUUUGGCAGGGAGGAAUCAGUUCUUCCAAGCCACAGAGAAACGAGACACUCCUGAUAGUUUCAAAUUUUUCACAGGCAUUUCUCUUUACUUGCAGUUUGUUUUCCACCUGCUUGAUGAAAUGGUUUUCUAACACAGAUUCCCUUCCUGUCAGGUUCUCCAUGGGUCAUUUUAAACAGACGCUUUGUUGAGUAUUGUAUUUUUGGUUGGGAGAAUCUCCCUAGAACACUCCUCAUGUACUUCACAAACGUGAUGCUACCUCUAGAGGGGUAUUUCCAUUCAGUUGCAUGCAACUCGGACUUCCGAAAUUUCACAGUGAACAACGACUUGCGGUAUA